rnacentral:rRNA from 1 species
UACGAAGGGGGCUAGCGUUGCUCGGAAUCACUGGGCGUAAAGCGCACGUAGGCGGAUAUUUAAGUCAGGGGUGAAAUCCCGGGGCUCAACCCCGGAGCUGCCUUUGAUACUGGGUAUCUCGAGUCCGAGAGAGGUGAGUGGAAUUCCGAGUGUAGAGGUGAAAUUCGUAGAUAUUCGGAGGAACACCAGUGGCGAAGGCGGCUCACUGGCUCGGUACUGACGCUGAGGAGCGAAAGCAUGGGGAGCGAACAGG